GACGAACGCUGGCGGCGUGCUUAACACAUGCAAGUCGAACGGAAAGGCCCUGCUUUUGUGGGGUGCUCGAGUGGCGAACGGGUGAGUAACACGUGAGUAACCUGCCCUUGACUUUGGGAUAACUUCAGGAAACUGGGGCUAAUACCGGAUAGGAGCUCCUGCUGCAUGGUGGGGGUUGGAAAGUUUCGGCGGUUGGGGAUGGAUUCGCUGCUUAUCAGCUUGUUGGUGUGGUAGUGGCUUACCAAGGCUUUGACGGGUAGCCGGCCUGAGAGGGUGACCGGCCACAUUGGGCCUGAGAUACGGCCCAGAAUCCUACGGGAGGCAGCAGUGGGGAAUAUUGCACAAUGGGCGGAAGCCUGAUGCAGCAACGCCGCGUGCGGGAUGACGGCUUUCGGGUUGUAAACCGCUUUCGCAUGUGACGAAGCGUGCGUGACGGUAAUGGGUAAAGAAGCACCGGCUAACUACGUG
rnacentral:rRNA from 1 species